GACGAACCGUGCGAACGUUGUUCGGAAUCACUGGGCUUAAAGGGCGCGUAGGCGGGCCUCCAAGUCCGGGGUGAAAGCCUCCAGCCUAACUGGAGAAGCGCCUCGGAGACUGGGGGCCUCGAGGGAGGUAGGGGCAAGCGGAACUAUGGGUGGAGCGGUGAAAUGCAUUGAUAUCCAUAGGAACUCCGGUGGCGAAGGCGGCUUGCUGGACCUCUUCUGACGCUGAGGCGCGAAAGCCAGGGGAGCAAACGGG
rnacentral:rRNA from 3 species